rnacentral:rRNA from 1 species
AUUGAACGCUGGCGGCAUGCCUUACACAUGCAAGUCGAACGGCAGCGCGGACUUCGGUCUGGCGGCGAGUGGCGAACGGGUGAGUAAUACAUCGGAACGUACCCUGUUGUGGGGGAUAACUAGUCGAAAGAUUAGCUAAUACCGCAUACGACCUGAGGGUGAAAGUGGGGGACCGCAAGGCCUCACGCAGCAGGAGCGGCCGAUGUCUGAUUAGCUAGUUGGUGGGGUAAAGGCCCACCAAGGCGACGAUCAGUAGCUGGUCUGAGAGGACGAUCAGCCACACUGGGACUGAGACACGGCCCAGACUCCUACUGGGGGCAGCAGUGGGGAAGUUUGGGCAAUGGGGGCAACCCUGAUCCAGCAAUGCCGCGUGUGUGAAGAGGGCCUUCGGGUUGUAAAGCACGUUUGUCCGGAAAGAAAUCGCGCUGGUUAAUACCUGGCGUGGAUGACGGUACCGGAAGAAUAAGCACCGGCUAACGACGUGCCAGCCGCCGCGGUAA